AGAACCAGAGGACGGAACAGGCAGCCGUCACCCAUCGUUAGGAGAUGCGGGAAGCGUCACCCCGCCUGAUUCU
rfam:Faecalibacterium prausnitzii strain 2789STDY5608869 genome assembly, contig: SCcontig000002